rnacentral:rRNA from 1 species
UGGGGAAUAUUGCACAAUGGGCGCAAGCCUGAUGCAGCCAUGCCGCGUGUAUGAAGAAGGCCUUCGGGUUGUAAAGUACUUUCAGCGGGGAGGAAGGCGAUAAGGUUAAUAACCUUGUCGAUUGACGUUACCCGCAGAAGAAGCACCGGCUAACUCCGUGCCAGCAGCCGCGGUAAUACGGAGGGUGCAAGCGUUAAUCGGAAUUACUGGGCGUAAAGCGCACGCAGGCGGUCUGUCAAGUCGGAUGUGAAUUCCCCGGGCUCAACCUGCGUACUGCAUUCGAAACUUGCAGGCUAGAGUCUUGUAGAGGGGGGUAGCAUUCCAGGUGUAGCGGUGAAAUGCGUAGAGAUCUGGAGGAAGACCGGUGGCGAAGGCGGCCCCCUGCACAAAGACUGACGCUCAGGUGCGAAAGCGUGGGGAGCAAACAGG